rnacentral:lncRNA from 1 species
GUUCUCAUAAACACGUGUCGUUACACAAAGUAAGUCUAAAGUUCGAGUUGUCACACACUAUAUGAUAAAACCAGUAGAUAUGUACAUCCAUUAAUUUAAGUUUAAAAGUAGUACAACAUAAUUGUCUGAAAUGACGAGACCAAAUUCAAGUUACAAACCAUAACAUGUUUUAAGGAGUUCAAAAAGACUCAACAAAAGAUUUUAAAGCAACCCCGAGUUUAGGACCACGUAUCUCGUCCAGGAUUAAGAUACGCCUCCUAAGCCCUAAU